rnacentral:rRNA from 1 species
UACGUAGGGUGCGAGCGUUAAUCGGAAUUACUGGGCGUAAAGUGUGCGCAGGCGGCCAUGCAAGUCGAGUGUGAAAGCCCCGGGCUUAACUUGGGAAUUGCGCUCGAAACUACGUGGCUGGAGUGUGGCAGAGGAAGGUGGAAUUCCACGUGUAGCGGUGAAAUGCGUAGAUAUCUGGAGGAACACCGGUGGCGAAGGCGGCGUUCUGGACUGCAACUGACACUGAGGAACGAAAGCCAGGGGAGCAAACGGG